AUGAUGGUAUCAGAUGAGAGCACCUUGGGCACUUCAGCAGACUCCUGGCAGGAAACCAACCUGCUGCUCAGAGCUUUCCCAACACCCUCCUCAUCUUCCCUCUGCCUUGGCCUGCACAUCAAACAACUUAUACCUACAGCACAGGCCCCUGUGUGUGAUGUUGGGGGAACAGAAUCUGUUAUCACAAACCCUGGAGGAUCAGACUUCAGAGUGAUCAACAUGAGGCCCAGCUCCUCUCUUCCUCUUUGGACGCUGCAAGGUUUGAUCAAUAGCUGUGCAAUAAAAGGAAGAGUUCACCCAAAAAUGAAAAUCAUGUCAUCAUUUACUCACCCCUCAUGUCAUUCCAAAUCAAUAUGACUUACUUCAUUCUGUGGUACACACAAGGUGCAAUUUUAUAGAAUGUUAUGGCCACUCUAUUCCAUUUAAAGUGAAAGGGGACUUGAGCUGUUUAGGUUCCAAAAUAACCAAAAAGCUCUAUAGACGUAUUAUAGAAGUGGUCCAUGUCACUCUAUUUCAAGUCACUCUGAAAAACUUAAACUCCAACAUAG
ensembl:lncRNA